rnacentral:rRNA from 1 species
UCGUAGGCAGCAGUGNCUAAUAUUGCACAAUGGGGGCAAGCAUGAUCCAGUCANGCCGCGUGAGUGAUUAAGGCCUUAGGGUUGUAAAGCUCUUUUAUCCGGGAAGAUAAUGACGGUACCUGCAGAAUAAGCCCCGGCUAACUUCGUGCCAGCAGCCGCGGUAAUACGAAGGGNGCAAGCGUUGUUCGGAAUUACUGGGCGUAAAGCGCGCGUAGGCGGUUUUUUAAGUCAGAUGUGAAANCCCCGGGCUCAACCCCGGAACUGCAUUUGAAACUGUCUCGCUAGAGUAUGGUAGAGGUGAGUGGAAUUCCUAGUGUAGCGGUGAAAUUCGUAGAUAUCAGGAGGAACACCAGUGGCGAAGGCGGCUCCCUGGCCCAUUACUGACGCUGAGGUGCGAAAGCGUGG